UUUAUAAUUUUAAUUUUAAAAAAUUUAUAUAAAUAAAUUAAUAUUAAUUAUUUAUAAAAUUUUAGUAAUUAAUAUAAAAUAAUCAAAUAAAUUAUACUAUUUUGUAUUGUAAAAGAAAUUUAAAAAAUUAUUUAAAAAGAUAAAUUAAAUUUUUUUACCUUUUGUAUCAGGGUUAAUUAAAAACAUUUAAAUAUUUUUAAAUAUUUCGAAAUUAAUUGAGUUAAAAUUAAAUAUUAUUUAAUAUAACAAAAUUAUUAAUAAUUUAGUUUUAGAAAUUAAAUGUUAUUCGUAAUUAAUAAUAUCUAAUUUUUUAAUAAAUGAAUUUAAUUCAUAAAAAUAUUUUUUAUAAUAUAAUUUAUUUAAUAAAUUAUAAAUAAUAUUUUUAAAAAUUUUAAGGGAUAAACUUUAAAAUUAAUAUUAUAAAUUUAUUAAAAUAAAUAUAAUUUAAAAUAUAAUUUAAAAUUUUAAUUUUUUAAAAGUAUUUAAUAAUUUAUAAUUAAAUAUAAAUUUUAAUAAUUUAAAAUUUUAAUUUUUAAUAUUAUUAUUAAAAUAUAAUUUAAAAUUAAACUUAAUUAAUAAUAAUGAUUAAAUUAGUAAAUUAAUUAUAAUAUAUUAUAUUAAAUAAUUAUUUUUAUAUAUUAAAUUAAUGAAUUAAGCAAAUUAAAUAUUUACCUGUUUAUUAAAAACAUGUCUUUUAAAAAUAUUAAUUAAAAGUCUAAUCUGCUCAAUGAAAAAUUAAUAAAUUUAUAUUAAAUAGCUGCAGUAUUUUAACUGUACUAAGGUAGCAUAAUAAUUUGUCUUUUAAUUUAAGACUUGAAUGAAAGAUUUCAUAAAAUAUUAACUUUAUUAAUUUAAUUAAUAAUUAAACUUUAUUUUUAAGUAAAAAAUCUUAAAUAAAAUUAUUAGACGAUAAGACCCUAUAGAACUUAAUAUUUUAUAUUAAAAUUUAAUAAAUUUUUAAUAAAAUUUUAAUUAUAAAAAUAUUAAAUUGGGGAUAUUAAAAAAUUUUAAAAAUUUUUUAUUUAAAUAAAAAUUAAUAAAUUAAAUAAUAAUAAUAAAAAAGAGUGUUUAUAUAAAAAUUAUUAGAAAAAGUUACCUUAGGGAUAACAGCAUAAUUUUUUUAAAAAGUUCAUAUUGAUAAAAAAGAUUAUGACCUCGAUGUUGAAUUAAGAUAUAUUAUAAAAGUAGAUUUUUAUAAAUUAAGUCUGUUCGACUUUUAAAAUCUUACAUGAUUUGAGUUAAAAUCGGCGUAAGCCAGAUUGGUUUUUAUCUAUAAUAAAAUUUUAAAUAUUUGUACGAAAGGACUUUAUUUAAUAAAUAAUAAAAAUUAAUUAAUAAAAAGAAUAAAUCUAAUAUUUAUAAUAAAUAAAUUUUUUUAAAAAUAAAAAUAUAUUAU
rnacentral:rRNA from 1 species